UGUGCUCUUCCGAUUGGCUAUUCAAGAUCUCUGGCAGUGGAGGAAGUCUCUUUAAGAAAAUAGUUUAAACAGUUUGUUACAAUUUUCCGUCUUAUUUCAUUUCUGUAACAGUGGAUAUCUGGCUGUCCUUUUUAUAAUACAGAGUGAGAACUUUCCCUACUGCAUCUGAUAAAUGUUGUCCAGGUUCCAUUGCCAAGAAUGUGUUGUCCAAAAUGCCUGUUUAGUUUUUAAAGAUGGAACUCUUUAAAAAGAUGGAACCAACCCUUUGCUUGGUUUUAUGUAUGUAUGGAAUGUUAUGAUAGGACAUAGUAGUAAUGGUGGUCAGACAAAUGGAAACGGUGGGGAGACAAAAAUAUACAUGUGAAAUAAACUCAGUAUUUUAAUAAAGUAAAAAAAAAAA